AUGGAAGAAGAUGAGUUCUUUGGAGAAAAAACAUUCCAGCAUUUUUGUGCAGAAUUCAUUAAACAUUCACAGCAGAUAGGUGAUGGUUGGGAAUGGAGAACUUCAAAGGACUGUUCUGAAGGCUACAUGUGCAAAACACAUUUUCAAAUUAAACCUGGGAUGCCGAUGUCACCUCCAGGAACAUCUGCCCAUAUACAGACAUGUCUUCCCAUGGAGGAGGCUUUAGAAUUACCCCUGGAUGAUUUUGAAAAGACUGAGACCACAACGGGAAGCGAAGUGAUUAAAUAUGAGUAUCAUGUCUUGUACUCCUGUAGCUACCAAGUGCCUGUGCUUUACUUUAGGGCAAGCUUUUUAGAUGGAAGACCUUUAGCUCUGAAGGACAUAUGGGAAGGAACUCAUGAAUGCUAUAAGACCCGGCUGCUGCAGGAGCCAUGGGACACCAUUACCCAACAGGAGCAUCCAAUACUUGGACAACCCUUUUUUGUACUUCAUCCCUGCAAGACGAAUGAAUUCAUGACUCCUGUGUUAAAGAAUUCUCGAAAAAUCAAUAGGAGUGUCAACUACAUCACAUCAUGGCUGAGUGUUGUAGGGCCAGUUGUUGGGCUAAACCUACCUCUGAGUUAUGCCAGAACAGCUUCUCAGGAUGAAGGGAAUGUGAAUUGACCGAGGCUGAAUAUGGACCGUUUGUUUAAGUUUCCAACCAACCAGUGACCAAGCAUUGAGGAAGCAUAUUGGACUUUGCACUAAUAAUGCAAACCCAUUUGCAGGAGUGGAUGACUUUACUUCAGGAUUGUUAUUCUUGAAAUAAGUCUGUACUGUUCAGGGAACAGGGAUUUGAAAACUGAUGGAUAAAUAAGCUCCCUUCCAACUCUAGGACCCUUGGAUUGCCCCUUCUACUGCUGACCAGUAAGUUGCUGAAGGUUAUUCUGGAAGGAUAUAGGCAGUACUGAACUACCGGUGUGCCCAUGGCAACUGAGAUACUUAAUUAUGCACAUAGGUCUUUUUAUAGGACUUGUCUGUAAAAGUGCUUUCACGUUUUUAUUCUUAAACGCUGUAGUGUUGUCAAGCCCUACUCCAGGCUUUGCUUUUACCUUUUGUGUUGUCAAUAGCAUCACCUAGUGGUAAAAGCGCCUUAUUGCAAGUACUGUGAAAACUGAAAGUGAUUUUAGAGCUCACCAUGUCCCAUUUGUAAAUUAUUAAAAACAAACUGGAAACUCACAUUUUUUCCUACACUGAAAUAUACUUUACACGAGAGUAAAUAAAACCUGUGGCUGCAUUAUGAUUUCUUGGGUUACUUUGAAGGUUUUCAAAUACCCAGACAUCACUGUUAAACCUGAGGCAAAAAUGUAAGUAAGCAUAUCCUGAUAGGUUAACCUGGAGAUCACAGGUCAGUGCCUCUGCCACCUUUCGUGCAUCGUGACUUGCACACGUGUGCGAGAUCUUCAUCUUUAGCAUGGUGCCCGGCACAUGCUAAUACUCCAUCUCGGCAGAAUGUCUGUAUAUGUGGCUGACUCCUGAGCACAGGGGAAGGCUCUGCUGGGCUUUCUGCCGGCACCAGGAACUGGACGUGGUUUCCUCUUUUGGGAACUGUGGCCCACUCUUUCCUUUGAGAUGAUUUCUUUUCCUGACACCAGCCGAGAAGUGGGAUGUGGUCUCCUCCAUCGUUUUCUUUAAUAGAUUCAGAGAGAAUAGCCAGGCCCGUACCUGCUUAUUAACAGAGAAAUGGCUAACUCAGAUGUGAUGCUCUACGGCAGUUCAGGGGAAUGACUCCAUCCAGUCCCCCCACACAGGCAGCUCUCAUAAAUAGGUUGUUGAGUUAAAACAGAAAACAGAAACUUGAUGAUAAAUAUGCAUGCAACUUAACACUAUUUAUAUAAAAAGUACACCAAUACCACCCAUUUUCUAGAGUACAUAUGCAGUAUAUGUAUGUAGAAACAUUAAACAUGACCUAGGACACACACAAUUUGUAAGAGAGGCCACCUCAGAGAGUGGAGAGUGGGAACUUGCAUUAGAGGAAGGCAAAGAUGUUGGCUUUUUGUAAUGCUACACUUACCUAGCUGUAGACUGUGAAACCAAAAUUCACUUUAAAAACAAAAAAGAUUUUUUUUUAUUUAUUCAUGAGAGACACAGAGAGAGGCAGGCUCUAUGCAGGGAGCCCGAUGCGGAUGGGACCAAUCCCUGGACCAUACCAUGGGCUGAAGGCAGAUGCUCAACUGCCGAGCCAUCCAGGUGUCCCUAAAAUUCACUUUUAGAAAAGAUUUUAGUCCUCAUAGAUAACUUGGAAGCCACAGAAACACUUGAAGGAGAAAAUUUUAAAUGUGCUUAAGUGUAAAUCACCCAUGGAUAACUGCAGUUAACUUUUGAUGUAUUUCUUCAUACUAGUUUAAAUAUAUAUUUAAUUAGGAUCAUUCCAUAUAUGGUUUUACAUUAUGAUUUUUUGCAUUUAAUAUUAUAUUGGCAACAUUCUCCCAUGUCAUGUGGCUCUUUGAAAAAACAACUUAAAAUGACUAGUAAUCUUCUAUAUCAAAAUGUCCCUUGGGAUCCUUGGGUGGCUCAGCGGUUGAGCGUCUGCCUUCAGCCCAGGGCGUGAGCCUGAGGUCCCGAGAUCGAGUUCCGCGUCGGGCUCCCUGCAUGGAGCCUGCUUCUCCCUCUGCCUGUGUUGUGUCUCUGCCUUUCUCUGUGUCUUUCAUGAAUAAAUAAAUAAAAUCUUUUUAAAAAAUGUCCCAAAUAAUCCUAUUGUUGGACUUUUAGGUUGUUUCUAAUUCCUCACUGUUUAAUUAAUAUACAUUCAUUGAGCAUUUAACCUCCUGUGUGGCAAGGUAGACACAGCCCCUUCCUCAGAGCGCUUUCAGAAUGGAAGUGAGAAAUGUGUGCAGGAACAGUUGCUUACAUUUGGUUUCUUUAGGUUGUACUGUUACUAAGGGAAUGAACUGAUCAAAGGAUACGGAGUGUCUUAAGGCUUUUGAUUCAUGUCCCUAAACUGUUCACCAGUAAGGCUAUACUGAUUUAUAUCCCAGAAGUAUUCUGUAUUUUACCAUUUCCUAAACUCUCUGAAAAUAAUUUUGUUUUCCUUUGCUUUUAUUACAGAAUCGAUCAUUUUUCUCUUCAUGUCCUGCUAAAAUGUGCAUGGACUCCCAGCUUUGUUUCUUCUCAAUAUGCUAUGCAUUUCUCAGUGCUGCUGGGGUUGUUUUUCCAGAUUCUUUAUUGUCCAUUUUAUUGCCCCAAAAAAUCUUCGUUUUUUUCCUAUCAGAGCUGACCGUCCAUACGUUGGUUCUGGUAAAACCAGAAAGCAUAGAGUUAAACAAUUAGGAUAUGUAUGUAAUAUAAAAAAAUGUUAUGGAAAAUCUUAUAUGUACUCAAAGGUAAAGAAAAUAAUAUAAUGAACUCACAUACUUAUACAUCAGAAUCCGUAAUUACCAAGAUUUUUGCCAUGUUUGCUUCAUUUAGCCUUAACUUUAUAUUUGCAUAAAUAUUUUAAAGAAAAUUGCAGACAUUAUGUCAUUUGUUUUUACAGGUGCAUGCUAAACAUUUUUCAUUUGAUCUAUUCUGACAAGUUUUACUCCAGUCUUAUAUGUUAAAACAUUUGAGUUCUGGUCCUCCACUUGCUUCAACCCCUGAAGUGGAGCUUUGCACCCUCUUUCUGAUUAUACCUUUGCCAGUGACAUGGGGCAACUUUCUUCUAAAAUGGCCCUCUGUUCCAGCUGACAUCAAAGUAGAAUGUGAAAUGUACAUUUUGCAGGUGCUGCAGACUGGAUGAUCCAUCCACAGAUCUUCACCACAUUGGAGACAUCUCUUAAAUGAUGUUAAACCAUAGACAACUUCUUGUGACUCUUCUCAGCUGUGAUUAAAAUGGACAGUUAGGUAAUAUGUGGCCAAAUCUAGUUUUAUAGAUUUAAACAAUGUCUAGUUUCUUGUGAAGGGACCCCUUUAAAAGUCUGAAAAUAUAUAGAACCUAUUUUCAGAAAAAUGUGUGUGCCAUAUAUGUGGAAGUGUUUACGCGCACACACACAUAUCGCUGAUAUAUAUCAGAAAAUUCUGCAUACAUGGGGCACCUGGGUACUCAGUUGGUUAAGCAUCCUACUCUUGAUUUCACCUUGUCAUGAUCUCAGGGUUGUGAGAUCA